GUCUGCUGCUUGCUUUAUAAUUUCCCCUGUACAGCUCCAUGGGCUGCUGAGUCCUUCCUCUUACAUCUGAAGCUCAUGGCCAAAGACAAACAACUUUCUGAAAUGAGAGUUUGUAGAUCUACAGCACUUUCCACCUGGAAAGAGAAUGGUUUGUAGCAUUUUAUAAGUUUUUCUAUUAACUCCAGCACCCAAGUUUUCUCCACCCUUUAAAAGCCACAGCAAUCGCUGGCAGCAGAAGCCAGAAAGGGAUCCAGCCCUCAUCAUCUGCACAGGGAAGGGAGAAGACCACCGAUGGAGACCAGCUCCAGGAGCUGCUCAGAUAUUAUGUUGGCCAUGGAGAUCCACAUUGGAUUGGUUGACAAAUCUGCAAUGUAGACAUAAAGAAUGUGAAUUGAUUCUCAUAAGAAUGGGACCAUCACCUUCUCUUACCUUCCAACCCCAACCCACAAAAAAUAACCAGAAAAAUUUGCACCAUCACCACUGAGCAUCGCUUGACCAUCCAUCUCCCACCAUAGCCAGCCACACUGGCCGUGAAGGCAACUGACGGUAUGCCAGAUUCCCUCCUGACCCUUCUCUGUUCCUGAAUCUGGUUCUUCAUCUCGGCACAACCUUCACCAUCUUUCAGCAUCAAAUGGCCCUGCUCCUCCAUGCUCUUCAUGAUAGAAGAGCCUCUCUCUACAGGAAAGACACGGAGGUGCUGGAGUGUGUUCAGAGAAGGGCAACCAAGCUGGUGAAGGGU